rnacentral:rRNA from 1 species
CCUACGGGAGGCAGCAGUGGGGAAUAUUGCACAAUGGGGGAAACCCUGAUGCAGCGACGCCGCGUGAGGGAAGAAGUAUUUCGGUAUGUAAAGCUCUAUCAGCAGGGAAGAAAAUGAAGGUACCUGAUUAAGAAGCCGCGGCUAAAGACGUGCCAGCAGCCGCGGUAAUACGUAGGGGGCAAGCGUUAUACGGAUUUACUGGUUGUAAAGGGAGCGUAGACGGCAGUACAAGUCUGGAGGGAAAUGCCGGGGCUUAACCCGAGGAUUGCUUUGGAAACUGUGCAGUUAGCGUGCAGGAGAGGUAAGUUGAAUGCCUGGUGUAGCGGUGAAAUGCGUAGAUAUUAGGAGGAACACCAGUGGCGAAGGCGGCUUACUGGACUGUAACUGACGUUGAGGCUCGAAAGCGUGGGGAGCAAACAGGAUUAGAUACCCGAGUAGUC